UACGAAGGGAGCUAGCGUUGUUCGGAAUUACUGGGCGUAAAGGGCGUGUAGGCGGUACCAUAAGUCAGAUGUGAAAGCCCCAGGCUUAACCUGGGAGGUGCAUUUGAUACUGUGGAACUAGAGAUCGAGAGAGGAAAGUGGAAUUACGAGUGUAGAGGUGAAAUUCGUAGAUAUUCGUAAGAACACCAGUGGCGAAGGCGACUUUCUGGCUCGAUACUGACGCUAAGGCGCGGAAGCGUGGGGAGCAAACAGG
rnacentral:rRNA from 1 species